UACAGAGGUCUCAAGCGUUGUUCGGAUUCAUUGGGCGUAAAGGGUGCGUAGGUGGCGUCGUAAGUCAGGUGUGAAAUUUCGGAGCUUAACUCCGAAACUGCAUUUGAUACUGCGGUGCUUGAGGACUGGAGAGGAGACUGGAAUUUACGGUGUAGCAGUGAAAUGCGUAGAGAUCGUAAGGAAGACCAGUGGCGAAGGCGGGGUCUCUGGACAGUUCCUGACACUGAGGCACGAAGGCCAGGGGAGCAAACGGG
rnacentral:rRNA from 1 species